CGAUCUACGUUUUCAAAUUUCCCCGGUUUUUCAUUCAAUUUUAAUCCUGCCACCAAUCCACUUAGAAGUAACACAAAUGGUAAACGAUCACAAAUCAUCAUUUUAUUCGUAAAUUACGUGCCUUCUUGUGUAAUAAUAAUAACAAUAAAUCACUGAUAACUUGUAUUAUGAAAACAAAAGAUGCAAACUGCAAGUACCUAUGUAUUUUUUAUCUAUGUAUGUAUCUAUAAGUAAUGUACACACAUCAGAAUUUUAUUAUUUGCAAACUUUAUAAAACGAUCAAAGGCGUUGUACUCAUAGUUACUGUAACAAUUUGAUUAAGUGCAUGGUCAGAUAUACCCAGUUUACCGUCUCCCACCGUUCCAACCUUUCAUUCUAUUCCACUGGAACCAACGAUUACAAUUUCACAUUCAUUUUUAGACAAUUUUUCCUUGGUAAUGUAUUAUUGCUUUCUUUCCGUUGUUUCGAUUGCCAAUCCGUAACAAGUAUUCAUCUUUUAUGGAAAACUUAUACCACGGGUCAGACAGAUUUAUUAACGAGAGAUCGUUUAGUAUACAGUGACGAUGAUGAUUUCGACUUUGAAGAUACAGGUACUCAGCGGAGAAAGUUUUUUGAUAUUGAGGAAAAUUUACUAGAAAAUGACGUUCGAAAGAAAAAGAUAACAUUCAAUGUGUCAAAAGACAUUAAUCUCGAUGAAUUCGAAAGUGAAAUGGGAUGGUCAAAUACUGCUCGACGAGAUAAAAAUAAUAAAACGGCCCCAAAUGUGAUAGCUUUAAAACAAGAAGUAAUGGCAAUAGAUGCCAUUAUGAAAAAUAGUGUUAUCAAACCUGGGUCGGAGCAAUUAAAAUAUGUACAUAACGUACACGUAAGCAAAAGAAAAUUGCAAGCUAGAAAACAUAGAGAACGCGCUAAAACCAAGGGUACAGGCUGGUUUAAUAUGCCUGCUCCUGAAAUAACUCCAGAAAUUAAACACGACCUUCAAGUUCUUCAAAUGAGAUCGGUAUUAGAUCCAAAACAUUUUUAUAAAAAGAACGAUCUGAAAGUUUUGCCAAAAUACUUUCAAAUUGGUAAAGUUGUCGAUACACCGUUGGAUUAUUAUUCCGGACGUCUUACAAAGAAAGAACGUAAAAAGACAAUUGUGGAUGAACUGAUGGCUGAUGCUGAAUUUUCCAAGUAUAAUAAACGUAAAUAUAAGGAGAUUAUUGAUGAAAAGAACAAGUCGCAUCAUAAAGCUCAUAAGCGUGCAAAGAAACUUAAAGGAAAGAAAAAAUGAUGCUUGUCAUUCCCCCUGUGACCUCGAUGGAAGCACCAUUGAUAUAGGAACUUUUACUAGAUGCUAAAAAUACAAUAACUUCUGCUACUUCUUCCGGCUUUCCCAUUCUACGAAGAGAUUGAAAUGUUAAUUACAAUUUAAUUGCAAAAUUAAAUCGCCAAUAAAAAUUAGUCUCAUCAGAUUGCGUCAUUUAUACAAAAACGGUGGAAACUACUCGAUAACUUAUCGACUGAGUUUCGGAGAAAAAUUUUGCGGAAUUUUCAACAUUGAUUUACCUAUUUCGAAACGAAUUCGGUUGUUCUACCAGGUAACCGUACCAUAUGCUGCUGACGUCAAACUACGUCUGCAGUGACGUUAAAACGCAACACGAGUAGUACUACUAGUUACGUUUACGGAAAAAUUGAACUUGAAUUAUAGUUUUAUAGUUGAACCGAUCGUUCCUCAACAACGAUGGAAACAGUUUCUGACGUUACAUUUUACGUAUUAAAAGACAGAAUAUAGUGUGUUAAUUAAAUACCAUUUUUAAGUAAUAGGUUGUAAAAUCUAAAUCAAUAGUAACAACGUCAAGUACGUUGCUUACAAAACGGAGAUAAAUGUUCAAUUAUUUUAUUUUAUUGUUAGAAUUAUUUGUAAUUUAUCUUUCCAAUGAAUAUUUAAGAUUUUUUAAGUGUUUUAAAGUGAACUUUACAAUGGUAUGAGAUUGAAUGCAAUUUGAAAAAUGUGUAAAAUUCGACAAAGGUAAUAAUAUUAUUUAUAUCGAAAAAGCUGUAAGGAAACUUUUUAAAAUAAAAAGAUAGAAUUUAAACAGCGGAAAGGGGGAAAGAGGUUAUACGUAGAAGGCUGGCAGCACCGGCGUUUCAAGAAAUAUAACCAUGCGCCUCUGUUCUUGAUCACGCAAAACUCGUGCCAAUUUCUUUACGCAAAGUGUUCCCAGUGAAGAAGAAAGCAGGGCAGGGCGAUCAAGGGAUUGGAGAGUGAAAUGAAAAAUUUCGUUUGAAUACAAGAGAAAGAAAGAGAUAGAAAAGAAGAAAGAGGUGCGUGAGAAGAAAAUCGUACUGGUGAAGAGAAACGACGCGAUGACGCGGUGAACGCAGGAACUAGAGAAAAAUUCAACGCGGCAGUAACUGGUAACUGGUAUCGAAAUUAUCAAGCAAAAGAAUCGUUUGAAAAAUACAAAAACAGCAUAUUAUUAGAAUGUUGUUGGACGAAAGACAAUAAUGAGAUGGUUAUAAAGUUUUCGUGCUCUAGAUUCGAGGUAGAGAAAAUUACUGUAUUAUCAUUGCCGCUGUUUUUCUCCAUCGUUCCAGCUUAUUUUCCUGUGAUCGUCAGCGAAAAAGAUAAAUUUACAAGUUUAUUCGCAAAGAUUAUCUAGCGGCGACAAAGGCAGAGGACAUGAGAAAA